rnacentral:rRNA from 1 species
UACGUAGGGUGCGAGCGUUGUCCGGAAUUAUUGGGCGUAAAGAGCUUGUAGGUGGUUUGUCGCGUCUGCUGUGAAAAUCCGAGGCUCAACCUCGGACUUGCAGUGGGUACGGGCAGACUAGAGUGUGGUAGGGGAGACUGGAAUUCCUGGUGUAGCGGUGGAAUGCGCAGAUAUCAGGAGGAACACCGAUGGCGAAGGCAGUUCUCUGGGCCGUAACUGACGCU